rnacentral:rRNA from 1 species
AGUUCGGACUGUAGGCUGCAACUCGCCUACACGAAGCUGGAAUCGCUAGUAAUCGCGGAUCAGCACGCCGCGGUGAAUACGUUCCCGGGCCUUGUACACACCGCCCGUCACACCAUGAGAGUUGGCAAUACCCAACGUACGUGAUCUAACCCGCAAGGGAGGAAGCGUCCUAAGGUAGGGUCAGCGAUUGGGGUGAAGUCGUAACAAGGUAGC